GUCAGAUCUUCAAUAUUUUGAACGCGUUGGAAAGGUCUUUCAAAUACCUUUUAAACAAUAUAUAGCAUGACGAGUUUUCUUACAAAAGCCACCCUUUUUACAAUAUUUGAAACUCUAGCCAAACGGUCCAAAUCGGUUCAGCCAGUCCGGAGAUAAUCGUGUGCAUAUUUUUCGGUGCACACGCACAGACAUUUGUUCAGAAUUUGAUUCUGAGUCGAUAGGUAUACGUGAAAGUGUGUCUACGAGGUCAAAUAAAGAAGUUCAUUUUUCGAGUGAUUAUAUAGCCUUUCCUCAUUGAGGUGAGGAAGGCAAAAACUACAUUUAUGACCAAAAUAUAUUUUUUUAAACAACUGUUGUCAAACGAACGGGGUCACUUUUUAGUUUGACACCCCUUUUAUUUACACGGAGCUCACACACACUACCAAACGUUUGUUUUGAAAGUGUGCGUGAGCGCCGUGUAAAAAGUGACAGUUCGUCACUUUUUAGUUCGACUUUGACCAACCAACGUUGAACCCCGUAAAAAAGUGUCCAACGAAAAAGUGACCAACCACCGGGGGUUGAGUGUAUUUACCAAACUAGUUUGCAACGUGAUUUUUUUACGCAGGAUUUAUGAUUUAUGGGUCAUUUCACGUCAACUGUACACAAAAAAGUACACAUUCGAAUUCGACUUUUUCUGAUCAAGCUCAAAUUUGGUGGAGCUAUUGAUACAAUCAAAACAUGUACGAAUCCCGAUUUUGAACCAAAUUAGAUCACCCUUGAGUCAGGGGUACUAAAAAAGAUUCAAAAAGCAAAAACUGAAAAUUUUUGGACCUUUUCAUAAAAACCCAGAUUUGUAACUUCAACUUAAAGUGAUAACAGAUUUUCGUUAAUUUAUGUAACAAAUCUGCAUGGACAAAUUGUACGAAAAUUUGUAUGGACAGAUAAAUUAGGUUUUUUUUUGCCACUGAGAAGACCCCUCAGUUUUAGCCAAAUAUGUCAAUCAACUCAUCCACUUUAACGACCCGCAGGUCUUUUGUGGUCGUGGUCACUAUUGCAAGUUUCUGCUCAAACCUAGGAGUCCAAAGGUUUAAAUGGAGGGAGACAAAUAUGUACAACAUGAAAAACUCAUGAAAUCGGAUAAUUUCAUGAAUAAUAAUCGGUUGAGUUUUCAAAAAGCCGUAAGAGCCACUGUGACCUCUGACACUAAUUUUCGUUUUUCUCGAAAAUGAAACAAAAUUUAAUUUAUUUCAAGUAUGGGGCACUUGAAGGACGUGUAGAUGAACAAUUUCGAGCAUUUUUGAUAUAAGUUUUUCGUAAGUAGGUCGAAUACCGAUGCAAAAAGGACUUUGUUUACCAAUGGCACUUACGGCUUUUUGAAAACUAAUCCGAGAAUUUCUCAUAUGGAUUAUACAAAGGUAAAUAAACAAAAAUCAGGGUAACUUUUGUAGUUAUUUCAUUAAUGUUUAUUUUUCUGUCAUCCACAGAUUGUUACAUCACCCUUUUUUUAAUGAUUAUGCGAUAAGUUUUAAAUCAGCUCUGAAAGCAAAUUUCUACCGCCCAACUCUUACUUAUAAAUCUCGUUCAUAAUAUCUAAUGUAAAAUUUUGUAUCAUUUUUAUUUUUGUAUCAAAUAAACACAACCAACACAGGGUGUGUUCAUCUUCAACAUCGUGCAGUGGACCCCGGUCAAGUACCUCGGCUACUCGUACCCGCUGUGGGCGCACGCGUUCGGCUGGUUCACCGCCCUGUCCUCGAUGCUGUGCAUCCCCGGCUACAUGAUCUGGCUGUGGAGAAACACCCCCGGCGAUAAGGCCAACAAAAUCCGACUGAUUGUCAGAAUCGAGGACAGCGUCGCCCAGCUGCGGGAGAGAAUGCAA